rnacentral:lncRNA from 1 species
CUAUGUGAGAAUUGCAAGAACAAUCUAAGGUACCAAAAAUAUUUUUUGUAACUAACAGUUUAACAAUUCAAUGUAUGGAAACAAACCGAUGGCAGUAACAAUGUGUGUGAGUGUGUUUGUCAUCUCCUCCCAGGGUUCAACUCCAACAUCAACCUACCAGGGAGAGAGGAGCACCCAGGCUCCACCUCCUCCUCCCCGUCUCCACAGCUACAGGACAAGAACGCCAACAACCACGCCCCUCACUCCCCAAGCCACACCCCCGUAGAGAAUGGCAACCGGCUGUCCAAUGGGUCAAUGGAAGAUGAGGGUCACACCAAGUCAAACUCCUCCAGCUCAUCGUCUCUGCACAGACAUAUGGACAGACAUCACACCCAGAGGGGUCAUCUCAACUUCUCACCGUUCGGUGCAGGGGCUGCGCUCUAAGGCAGGGGGGCGCUGGGAGCACCCCUCACGUUUAGGGACAAGGUGAGUGUCAUCGUCCAUAUUGUACCCUACCUCACUGCUCUCCCUUCCUCUCCUUUCAGCACUUCCUCUUCCUGUUGUAUCCUUCUUGUCACCCUGCUCCCAAGUGAAGUUGCCCGUAACCACAGAUCUAGGAUCAGAUUAUCAUCCCUGUAAUCCUAACCUUAACCAUUAGGAGGGGAAAUGCGAGUAUAAGGGGCAACCUCAUCCUACUCUGUUCCACUUAUUGCUCAGAAAGGAAACUGCAGCUCUGGGU